rnacentral:rRNA from 1 species
AGACUGUUCGGUCUCUAUCUGUUGUGGGAGUUGGAAGUUUGCGAAGGACUGACCUUUGUACGAGAGGACCGGGUCGGACGAACCUCUGGUUUACCGGUUGUGGCGCCAGCCGCACCGCCGGGUAUCCACGUUCGGUAAGGAUAAGCGCUGAAAGCAUCUAAGCGCGAAGCCGGCUUCAAGAUGAGAUUUCCAAGAGGGUCGUGGGAGACUACCACGUUGAUAGGCGGAAGGUGUAAAGGCAGUAAUGUCAAAGCCGAUCCGUACUAAUAGCCCGAAAGCUUCGUGAU